GAACGGGUGAGUAACGCGUAGGUAACCUGCCUUGUAGCGGGGGAUAACUAUUGGAAACGAUAGCUAAUACCGCAUAACAAUGGAUGACACAUGUCAUUUAUUUGAAAGGGGCAAUUGCUCCACUACAAGAUGGACCUGCGUUGUAUUAGCUAGUAGGUGAGGUAAUGGCUCACCUAGGCGACGAUACAUAGCCGACCUGAGAGGGUGAUCGGCCACACUGGGACUGAGACACGGCCCAGACUCCUACGGGAGGCAGCAGUAGGGAAUCUUCGGCAAUGGGGGCAACCCUGACCGAGCAACGCCGCGUGAGUGAAGAAGGUUUUCGGAUCGUAAAGCUCUGUUGUAAGUCAAGAACGGGUGUGAGAGUGGAAAGUUCACACUGUGACGGUAGCUUACCAGAAAGGGACGGCUAACUACGUGCCAGCAGCCGCGGUAAUACGUAGGUCCCGAGCGUUGUCCGGAUUUAUUGGGCGUAAAGCGAGCGCAGGCGGUUUGAUAAGUCUGAAGUUAAAGGCUGUGGCUCAACCAUAGUUCGCUUUGGAAACUGUCAAACUUGAGUGCAGAAGGGGAGAGUGGAAUUCCAUGUGUAGCGGUGAAAUGCGUAGAUAUAUGGAGGAACACCGGUGGCGAAAGCGGCUCUCUGGUCUGUAACUGACGCUGAGGCUCGAAAGCGUGGGGAGCGAACAGGAUUAGAUACCCUGGUAGUCCACGCCGUAAACGAUGAGUGCUAGGUGUUGGAUCCUUUCCGGGAUUCAGUGCCGCAGCUAACGCAUUAAGCACUCCGCCUGGGGAGUACGACCGCAAGGUUGAAACUCAAAGGAAUUGACGGGGGCCCGCACAAGCGGUGGAGCAUGUGGUUUAAUUCGAAGCAACGCGAAGAACCUUACCAGGUCUUGACAUCCCGAUGCUAUUUCUAGAGAUAGAAAGUUACUUCGGUACAUCGGUGACAGGUGGUGCAUGGUUGUCGUCAGCUCGUGUCGUGAGAUGUUGGGUUAAGUCCCGCAACGAGCGCAACCCCUAUUGUUAGUUGCCAUCAUUCAGUUGGGCACUCUAGCGAGACUGCCGGUAAUAAACCGGAGGAAGGUGGGGAUGACGUCAAAUCAUCAUGCCCCUUAUGACCUGGGCUACACACGUGCUACAAUGGUUGGUACAACGAGUUGCGAGUCGGUGACGGCGAGCUAAUCUCUUAAAGCCAAUCUCAGUUCGGAUUGUAGGCUGCAACUCGCCUACAUGAAGUCGGAAUCGCUAGUAAUCGCGGAUCAGCACGCCGCGGUGAAUACGUUCCCGGGCCUUGUACACACCGCCCGUCACACCACGAGAGUUU
rnacentral:rRNA from 1 species